ensembl:snoRNA U3 Small nucleolar RNA U3
AAGACUAUGCUUUCAGGGAUCAUUUCUAUAGUUUCUGACUUGAGAAAUGUGUUUCUAAAGUGUAUGGUCUCGCUACCCACGAUGAAGAGUCAUGAUAUUCCUUUCUGAGCAUGAAGCGGAUAGAGAAUAAUGAUUCAGGUCAUACUGUAUGUUCUCUGUUCCUCAAUGCUUCUUGGUGGAAAACUGAUAUAUAGUACU